AGGAUCUCAUCAGGAUCAGGAUCAUUGUCGAUGGGGGUCCUCCUUUAUAGACCCACUCUCAUUUCGCUUUUCGCUUUUCAAUAAAUAUUUUCAAAUAUAUCGUCGUGUCGGAACCACUUACCCCACUCAUUGUUGUUGCUCCCACCUUCUUGUCCGUCCGUUCACGUGGCGUUGCCUAACCCCAUUCAUUCCGUUUGUUAUCCAUAAUUCAAUUCCUUGUUUAUAUACCUAACAUUUUUUUGGUUGCACAAUCAACGGUGGACUGUGCCAACUUCAUUCAUCUUCAACAUCAACUUCAGAGGGAAGCUCUUGGCCAACACUAUAAUAAUAUGAACUUUAGCUUUGCCUAUUUCGUCCCUUAUCUCUUAAAUUUUGUCACAUGUUUUCGCUCACCAAUGCAUCUGUCUAUGAUGCUAAUGCUAUACUGUCUCAAGAAAAUAUGUUUGGAGGAAUGUUCUUGUAAACAAAAACAAGGGUCGAGAGGAAUUCAUGCUUUUUGAGAGUUGUAGAUGAAGUCAUUCAAUGACAAUGAACGACAUCCCCGUGACAUGUCAGAAAUAAACUUCUAGCCUCUGCUUUGUUCAUCAAAGCCUUCAACCCAAGCGUGCUUUCGUUUGGUGGUUCAGUCUGAAGGGCGUUGAAACGUAGCUCUCCCGUUCGAUGAGGGCUAAUUUACCCUACUCUGGUCCUUAGUCCAUGGACACGUACAAAGCCCGAAAUUCGCGGAUAAAAAUAAAAACAAAAGCCUUCUAUCGUCAUAAAUCAACUUCACGUAUCUAAAGUUCCAUUCUAGCUAGCCAAGGGUUGGUCUAAUAUAAUUUAAAGCCUUAAAGCCAAAGAAAUUUAUGGACCCUUAUCUUAACUAUAAAUUCUAGAAAGGGUGUAUAUGAAAUGCUUUUUAGCUAGCCCUGGUGAAAGCAAUCAAGCCAAAGUAUUUUUUCUUUUCUAAGUAUUAAUCAAGCCGAAGUAGUCGAAGCUUUUUUGUUUAUUUAA